GACGAACGCUGGCGGCGUGCUUAACACAUGUAAGUCGAACGGAAAGGCCCCUUUGGGGGUACUCGAGUGGCGAACGGGUGAGUAACACGUGAGUAACCUGCCCUUGACUUCGGGAUAACUUCAGGAAACUGGGGCUAAUACCGGAUAGGAAUCCUUGCUGCAUGGUGGGGGUUGGAAAGCUUCGGCGGUUUUGGAUGGACUCGCGGCUUAUCAGCUUGUUGGUGGGGUAGUGGCUUACCAAGGCUUUGACGGGUAGCCGGCCUGAGAGGGCGACCGGCCACAUUGGGACUGAGAUACGGCCCAGACUCCUACGGGAGGCAGCAGUGGGGAAUAUUGCACAAUGGGCGGAAGCCUGAUGCAGCAACGCCGCGUGCGGGAUGACGGCCUUCGGGUUGUAAACCGCUUUCAGCAGGGGCGAAGCUUGUGGUGACGGUACCUGCAGAAGAAGCACCGGCUAACUACGUG
rnacentral:rRNA from 1 species